GAAAUGCGAUAAGUAAUGUGAAUUGCAGAAUUCAGUGAAUCAUCGAAUCUUUGAACGCACAUUGCGCCCUCUGGUAUUCCGGGGGGCACACCUGUUCGAGCGUCAUUACAACACUCAAGCUCUGCUUGGUAUUGGGCGCCCGCCCGCUACGGGCGCGCCUUAAACUCCUCGGCGUCGCCGUCCGUCUUUAAGCGCAGCGAGAUUUUUUCCAGCGUUUUCAAAGCCGGGCCUCGACCGCCGGAGAACCAGCCUUCUAUUCUUACAAGGUUGACCUCGGAUCAGGUGGGGAUACCCGCUGAACUUAAGC
rnacentral:misc_RNA from 1 species